GUAUAUUUUUUUUAUAAGAUUUUGAAUUUUUUGCAAUGUACAAUGUUGUGUAAUUUAGAUUUAGAUUGUUUUUCCCAUGUUGAUCAUGUGAAUAUUUACAAAUGUCGGUACUUGUUAACUUGAAUGAUCGAAUAAAUUAUCAGUAAUGUUUGAAAUUUAAAAUGAUUUUUUUCGAAUUAGAAAUCCAGUUUUUACCUGUUUUAAGAUUUCUAUUUAUUACCUUUAUUUGGUAUUGAAACAUCCUUAACUUUUUAUGUCCCACCUAUGAUAGUAGAGGGGCAUUAUGUUUUCUGGUCUGUGGCUCCGUUCGUCUGUGCGUCCGUCCGUUCAGGUUAAAGUUUUUGGUCAAGGUAGUUUUUGAUGAAGCUGAAGUCCAAUCAACUUGAAACUUAGUAGACUUGUUGCUUAUGAUAUGAUCUUUCUAAUUUUAAAGCCAAAUUAGACUUUUGACCCCCAUUUCACGGUCCACUGAACAUAGAAAAUGAAAGUGGGAGUUUCAGGUUAAAGUUUUUGGUCAAGGUAGUUUUUGAUAAAAUUGAAGUCCAAUCAACUUGAAACUUAGUACAUAUAUUCCCUAUAGUAUAGUCUUUCUAAUUUUAAUACCAAAUUAGAUUAUUACCCAAUUUCACGGUCCAUAGAACAUGGAAAAGGAUAGUGCGAGUGGGGCAUCCGUGUACUUUGGACACAUUCUUGUUAUAGUAGUUCCUUAAACGGGCAAAUGUCAUUUUGUAUCUGUUAAACUAGGGACAAUUAUUCAGUGGGAAAAUUAAUAAAAAUAUUUUGAAGAGGUUUCUAUGAUUUUUGUUUAUUACUUUGACAACAAUUAUAAAAUCACUAUAGAUGUUAUAAGAAUGUUAUUUUUUUCUUCAAAAUCUGGUUAUUACCGUGGAUUAUUUUGUUUGUGGGUACCAACUUUUGAGGAUUGAGGAAAAUUAUAUUUUGUGAAUAUGUUAUUUCAGGGUUUUAUCCAAUUCUGAAUACAAGAUGAUAGAAAAUUUGUAUUCAGUGAAUACUUAAGGUGGUACCCAACACUUUAACUAAAAUUAAUUUGGCUCGUUUAAUUUUCUUAAAAUUUUGGCAAAGUAUUUACUUUGACCCCUUGACAAAAAUAAAAAAAAUUUAAAAAUUUUGAACCAACCGUUUUAUCAGAAUUAUUACACUGGUUAUAUAGCAAUUUGACAAACACUAAUUUUGAUCAUUGAGAAGCUUAAUAUUCCUUUAACAACACAACGUUAUUAAAACGUUUAGCUGACUUUACAGAGUUAUCUCCCUGUAGUGUUAGGUACCACCUUAAAUUUACAAUUCACCUGGAUAAACAAAAUAGUAGCUGGAAACUAAUGAUUGAUCCACAGUUUUGUUGAUAAUAUUAAAAACAUUUGUUAUUACAUGUUGAAUAACUCCUAUUAUAUAAAAUGUUAUUGUGUUGGCCACACCUUAAUGAUUUAUGACUCUUUAAAGUUUCCCGCACAGAGCCUGGAAACUCCUAUCUCUGUUUCUAUCUUUUCAAAUUUGCUAUCUUUCACAAAACCUAAAUCUAUUUAAUGACAAAAC
rnacentral:lncRNA from 1 species